AUGAACGCUAGCUACAGGCUUAACACAUGCAAGUCGAGGGGCAGCAUGAACUUAGCUUGCUAAGUUUGAUGGCGACCGGCGCACGGGUGAGUAACACGUAUCCAACCUGCCGAUGACUCGGGGAUAGCCUUUCGAAAGAAAGAUUAAUACCCGAUGGCAUAGUUCUUCCGCAUGGUAGAACUAUUAAAGAAUUUCGGUCAUCGAUGGGGAUGCGUUCCAUUAGGUUGUUGGCGGGGUAACGGCCCACCAAGCCUUCGAUGGAUAGGGGUUCUGAGAGGAAGGUCCCCCACAUUGGAACUGAGACACGGUCCAAACUCCUACGGGAGGCAGCAGUGAGGAAUAUUGGUCAAUGGACGAGAGUCUGAACCAGCCAAGUAGCGUGAAGGAUGACUGCCCUAUGGGUUGUAAACUUCUUUUAUACGGGAAUAAAGUGAGGCACGUGUGCCUUUUUGUAUGUACCGUAUGAAUAAGGAUCGGCUAACUCCGUGCCAGCAGCCGCGGUAAUACGGAGGAUCCGAGCGUUAUCCGGAUUUAUUGGGUUUAAAGGGAGCGUAGGCGGACGCUUAAGUCAGUUGUGAAAGUUUGCGGCUCAACCGUAAAAUUGCAGUUGAUACUGGGUGUCUUGAGUACAGUAGAGGCAGGCGGAAUUCGUGGUGUAGCGGUGAAAUGCUUAGAUAUCACGAAGAACUCCGAUUGCGAAGGCAGCUUGCUGGACUGUAACUGACGCUGAUGCUCGAAAGUGUGGGUAUCAAACAGGAUUAGAUACCCUGGUAGUCCACACAGUAAACGAUGAAUACUCGCUGUUUGCGAUAUACAGUAAGCGGCCAAGCGAAAGCGUUAAGUAUUCCACCUGGGGAGUACGCCGGCAACGGUGAAACUCAAAGGAAUUGACGGGGGCCCGCACAAGCGGAGGAACAUGUGGUUUAAUUCGAUGAUACGCGAGGAACCUUACCCGGGCUUGAAUUGCAACUGAAUGAUGUGGAGACAUGUCAGCCGCAAGGCAGUUGUGAAGGUGCUGCAUGGUUGUCGUCAGCUCGUGCCGUGAGGUGUCGGCUUAAGUGCCAUAACGAGCGCAACCCUUAUCGAUAGUUACCAUCAGGUUAUGCUGGGGACUCUGUCGAGACUGCCGUCGUAAGAUGUGAGGAAGGUGGGGAUGACGUCAAAUCAUCAUGCCCUUUAUGACCUGGGCUACACACGUACUACAAUGGCGUUAAACAAAGAGAAGCAAGACCGCGAGGUGGAGCAAAACUCAAAAACAACGUCUCAGUUCAGAUUGCAGGCUGCAACUCGCCUGCAUGAAGUCGGAAUCGCUAGUAAUCGUGGAUCAGAAUGCCACGGUGAAUACGUUCCCGGGCCUUGUACACACCGCCCGUCACACCAUGAGAGUUGGAAAUACCCGAAGCCUGUGAGCUAACCUAUGAGGCAGCAGUCGAAGGUAGAGCCAAUGAUUGGGGUG
rnacentral:rRNA from 1 species